rnacentral:rRNA from 1 species
CCUACGGGGGGCAGCAGUGAGGAAUAUUGCUCAAUGGACGAGAGUCUGAACCAGCCAAGUAGCGUGAAGGAUGACGGCCCUACGGGUUGUAAACUUCUUUUGUCAGGGAGCAAUUGAGUCCACGUGUGGGCGUAGCGAGAGUACCUGAAGGAAAAGCAUCGGCUAACUCCGUGCCAGCAGCCGCGGUAAUACGGAGGAUGCGAGCGUUAUCGGGAUUUAUUGGGUUGAAAGGGUGCGUAGGCGGAAUAUCAAGUCAGCGGUAACAAUUCGGGGCUCAACCCCGUCGUGCCGUUGAAACUGGUGUUAUUGAGUGGGAGAGAAGUAUGCGGAAUGCGUGGUGUAGCGGUGAAAUGCAUAGAUAUCACGCAGAACUCCGAUUGCGAAGGCAGCAUACCGGCGCCAAACUGACGCUGAAGCACGAAAGCGUGGGUAUCGAACAGGAUUAGAUACCCUAGUAGUC